GUGGGGAAUAUUGGACAAUGGGCGAAAGCCUGAUCCAGCCAUGCCGCGUGUGUGAAGAAGGUCUUCGGAUUGUAAAGCACUUUAAGUUGGGAGGAAGGGUAGUAACCUAAUACGUUGCUACUUUGACGUUACCGACAGAAUAAGCACCGGCUAACUUCGUGCCAGCAGCCGCGGUAAUACGAAGGGUGCAAGCGUUAAUCGGAAUUACUGGGCGUAAAGCGCGCGGCGGUGGGUUUGUAAGUUGGAGGUGAAAUCGCCGGGGUCAAACUGGGAAAUGCCUCCAAAACUGGAGGAAUAGAGUACGGGAGAGGGGAGUGGAAUUUCCUGUGUAGCGGUGAAAUGCGUAGAUAUAGGAAGGAACACCAGUGGCGAAGGCGACUACCUGGACUGAUACUGACACUGAGGUGCGAAAGCGUGGGGAGCAAACAGGAUUAGAAACCCCGGUAGUCC
rnacentral:rRNA from 1 species